UACGUAGGGACCAAGCGUUGUUCGGAUUUACUGGGCGUAAAGGGCGCGUAGGCGGCAGAUCAAGUCAGUUGUGAAAUCUCUGGGCUUAACUCAGAACUGUCAACUGAUACUGUUUUGCUAGAGUGCGGAAGGGGCAAUCGGAAUUCUCGGUGUAGCGGUGAAAUGCGUAGAGAUCGUAAGGAAGACCAGUGGCGAAGGCGAGUUCCUGGACAGUUACUGACGCUGAGGCACGAAGGCCAGGGGAGCAAACGGG
rnacentral:rRNA from 1 species